rnacentral:tRNA from 1 species
CAAAAUGUAGUUUAACAAACAUUUCGCUUACACCGAAAAAAUGUUCGAAAAACCCGAGCCAUUUUGA